ensembl:snRNA U4atac minor spliceosomal RNA
AUCUUCCUUUUCUUGGGGUUGUGCUACUAUCCAAUGAAAGCUUAGUGAGGGCAGUACUGUUGAUGCCUAAACAACACACUCGCAUUGACUAGAACUCUGCUUUACCUGGGUGCAAUUUUUUGGAAAA